rnacentral:rRNA from 1 species
UACAGAGGGUGCUAGCGUUGUUCGGAAUCAUUGGGCGUAAAGGGCGUGUAGGCGGUUUGUUAAGUCAUGUGUGAAAUCCCUCGGCUCAACCGGGGAACGACGCAUGAAACUGGCAGCUAGAGUACCAAAGAGGGGGGUGGAAUUCCCGGUGUAGCGGUGAAAUGCGUAGAUAUCGGGGAGGAACACCUGUGGCGAAGGCGGCCCCCUGGUUGGAUACUGACGCUGAGACGCGAAAGCGUGGGGAGCAAACAGG